UACAGAGGCCCCAAGCGUUGUUCGGAAUUACUGGGCGUAAAGAGAAUGUAGGUGGAAGCGCAAGUCAGAUGUGAAAGCCCUGGGCUCAACCCAGGAAGUGCAUUUGAAACUGCGUUUCUCGAGUGCGAUAGAGGAGUGUGGAAUUCCUGGUGUAGGGGUGAAAUCCGUAGAUAUCAGGAGGAAUACCAAUUGCGAAGGCAAUACUCUGGAUCGUAACUGACACUGAGAUUCGAAAGCGUGGGGAUCAAACAGG
rnacentral:misc_RNA from 1 species